rnacentral:rRNA from 1 species
UACGUAGGGUGCGAGCGUUGCCCGGAUUUACUGGGUUUAAAGGGUGCGUAGGUGGGUAGGUAAGUCAGUGGUGAAAUCUUCAAGCUUAACUUGGAAACUGCCAUUGAUACUAUUUAUCUUGAAUACUUUGGAGGUAAGCGGAAUAUGUCAUGUAGCGGUGAAAUGCUUAGAUAUGACAUAGAACACCAAUUGCGAAGGCAGCUUACUACACAGUUAUUGACACUGAGGCACGAAAGCGUGGGGAUCAAACAGG